GACGAACGCUGGCGGCGUGCUUAACACAUGCAAGUCGAACGGAAAGGCCCUGCUUUUGUGGGGGGCUCGAGUGGCGAACGGGUGAGUAACACGUGAGUAACCUGCCCGUGACUUUGGGAUAACUUCAGGAAACUGGGGCUAAUACCGGAUAGGAGCUCCUGCUGCAUGGUGGGGGUUGGAAAGUUUCGGCGGUUGGGGAUGGACUCGCGGCUUAUCAGCUUGUUGGUGGGGUAGUGGCUUACCAAGGCUUUGACGGGUAGCCGGCAUGAGAGGGUGACCGGCCACAUUGGGACUGAGAUACGGCCCAGACUCCAACGGGAGGCAGCAGUGGGGAAUAUUGCACAAUGGGCGGAAGCGUGAUGCGGAGACGCCGCGUGCGGGAUGCAGGCCUUCGGGUUGUAAACCGCUUUCGCCUGUGACGAAGGGGGAGUGACGGUAAUGGGUAAAGAAGCACCGGCUAACUACGUG
rnacentral:rRNA from 1 species